UACGUAGGGCGCAAGCGUUGUCCGGGAUUAUUGGGCGUAAAGAGCUCGUAGGCGGUCUGUUACGUCCGCUGUGAAAACCCAGGGCUUAACCCUGGGCUUGCAGUGGAUACGGGUAGACUAGAGGCAGGUAGGGGAGAAUGGAAUUCCCGGUGUAGCGGUGAAAUGCGCAGAUAUCGGGAGGAACACCGGUGGCGAAGGCGGUUCUCUGGGCCUGACCUGACGCUGAGGAGCGAAAGCGUGGGGAGCGAACAGG
rnacentral:rRNA from 1 species